CUCGUAGGCGGCUUGUCGCGUCGACUGUGAAAACCCACAGCUCAACUGUGGGCUUGCAGCCGAUACGGGCAGGCUAGAGUUCGGUAGGGGAGACUGGAAUUCCUGGUGUAGCGGUGAAAUGCGCAGAUAUCAGGAGGAACACCGGUGGCGAAGGCGGGUCUCUGGGCCGAUACUGACGCUGAGGAGCGAAAGCGUGGGGAGCGAACA
rnacentral:rRNA from 1 species